rnacentral:rRNA from 1 species
GAUGAACGCUGACAGAAUGCUUAACACAUGCAAGUCAACUUGAAUUUGGGUUUUUAACUUAGAUUUGGGUGGCGGACGGGUGAGUAACGCGUAAAGAACUUGCCUCACAGCUAGGGACAACAUUUAGAAAUGAAUGCUAAUACCUGAUAUUAUGAUUUUAAGGCAUCUUAGAAUUAUGAAAGCUAUAAGCACUGUGAGAGAGCUUUGCGUCCCAUUAGCUAGUUGGAGAGGUAACAGCUCACCAAGGCGAUGAUGGGUAGCCGGCCUGAGAGGGUGAACGGCCACAAGGGGACUGAGACACGGCCCUUACUCCUACGGGAGGCAGCAGUGGGGAAUAUUGGACAAUGGACCGAGAGUCUGAUCCAGCAAUUCUGUGUGCACGAUGAAGUUUUUCGGAAUGUAAAGUGCUUUCAGUUGGGAAGAAAAAAAUGACGGUACCACCAGAAGAAGUGACGGCUAAAUACGUGCCAGCAGCCGCGGUAAUACGUAUGUCACAAGCGUUAUCCGGAUUUAUUGGGCGUAAAGCGCGUCUAGGUGGUUAUAUAAGUCUGAUGUGAAAAUGCAGGGCUCAACUCUGUAUUGCGUUGGAAACUGUGUAACUAGAGUACUGGAGAGGUAAGCGGAACUACAAGUGUAGAGGUGAAAUUCGUAGAUAUUUGUAGGAAUGCCGAUGGGGAAGCCAGCUUACUGGACAGAUACUGACGCUGAAGCGCGAAAGCGUGGGUAGCAAACAGG